rnacentral:rRNA from 1 species
AGUGAACGCUGGCGGUAGGCCUAACACAUGCAAGUCGAACGGCAGCACAGUAAGAGCUUGCUCUUACGGGUGGCGAGUGGCGGACGGGUGAGGAAUACAUCGGAAUCUACUUUUUCGUGGGGGAUAACGUAGGGAAAUUUACGCUAAUACCGCAUACGACCUACGGGUGAAAGCAGGGGAUCUUCGGACCUUGCGCGAUUGAAUGAGCCGAUGUCGGAUUAGCUAGUUGGCGGGGUAAAGGCCCACCAAGGCGACGAUCCGUAGCUGGUCUGAGAGGAUGAUCAGCCACACUGGAACUGAGGCACGGUCCAGACUCCUACGGGAGGCAGCAGUGGGGAAUAUUGGACAAUGGGCGCAAGCCUGAUCCAGCCAUACCGCGUGGGUGAAGAAGGCCUUCGGGUUGUAAAGCCCUUUUGUUGGGAAAGAAAAGCAGCAGGUUAAUACCCCGCUGUUCUGACGGUACCCAAAGAAUAAGCACCGGCUAACUUCGUG